rnacentral:lncRNA from 1 species
AGAGAGAGAGAGAGACAAGUCAGAGAGAGAGAGAGACAGGUCAGAGAGAGAGAGACAGGUCAGAGAGACAGACAGGUCAGAGAGAGACAGACAGGUCAGAGAGAGAGAGAGACAGGUCAGAGAGAGAGACAGACAGGUCAGAGAGACAGACAGGUCAGAGAGAGACAGACAGGUCAGAGAGAGAGAGACAGACAGGUCAGAGAGACAGACAGGUCAGAGAGACAGACAGGUCAGAGAGAGACAGACAGGUCAGAGAGAGAGAGAGACAGGUCAGAGAGAGAGACAGACAGGUCAGAGAGACAGACAGGUCAGAGAGAGAGACAGGUCAGAGAGAGACAGACAGGUCAGAGAGAGAGAGAGACAGGUCAGAGAGACAGACAGGUCAGAGAGACAGACAGGUCAGAGAGAGAGAGAGAGAGACAGGUCAGAGAGAGAGAGACAGGUCAGAGAGACAGACAGGUCAGAGAGAGAGAGAGAGAGGCAGGUCAGAGAGACAGACAGGUCAGAGAGACAGACAGGUCAGAGAGAGAGACAGGUCAGAGAGAGACAGGUCAGAGAGAGAGAGAGAGACAGGUUAGAGAGACAGACAGGUCAGAGAGACAGACAGGUCAGAGAGAGAGACAGGUCAGAGAGAGAGAGAGAGACAGGUCAGAGAGACAGACAGGUCAGAGAGACAGACAGGUCAGAGAGAGAGACAGGUUAGAGAGAGAGAGAGACAGGUCAGAGAGAGAGAGAGACAGGUCAGAGAGAGAGAGACAGGUCAGAGAGACAGACAGGUCAGAGAGAGACAGACAGGUCAGAGAGAGAGAGAGACAGGUCAGAGAGAGAGACAGACAGGUCAGAGAGACAGACAGGUCAGAGAGAGAGACAGGUCAGAGAGAGACAGACAGGUCAGAGAGAGAGAGAGACAGGUCAGAGAGACAGACAGGUCAGAGAGACAGACAGGUCAGAGAGAGAGAGAGAGAGACAGGUCAGAGAGAGAGAGACAGGUCAGAGAGACAGACAGGUCAGAGAGAGAGAGAGAGGCAGGUCAGAGAGACAGACAGGUCAGAGAGACAGACAGGUCAGAGAGAGAGACAGGUCAGAGAGAGACAGGUCAGAGAGAGAGAGAGAGACAGGUUAGAGAGACAGACAGGUCAGAGAGACAGACAGGUCAGAGAGAGAGACAGGUCAGAGAGAGAGAGAGAGACAGGUCAGAGAGACAGACAGGUCAGAGAGAGAGACAGGUCAGAGAGACAGACAGGUCAGAGAGAGAGACAGGUUAGAGAGAGAGAGAGAGACAAGUCAGAGAGAGAGAGAGACAGGUCAGAGAGAGAGAGACAGGUCAGAGAGACAGACAGGUCAGAGAGAGACAGACAGGUCAGAGAGAGAGAGAGACAGGUCAGAGAGAGAGACAGACAGGUCAGAGAGACAGACAGGUCAGAGAGACAGACAGGUCAGAGAGAGACAGACAGGUCAGAGAGAGAGAGACAGACAGGUCAGAGAGACAGACAGGUCAGAGAGACAGACAGGUCAGAGAGAGACAGACAGGUCAGAGAGAGAGAGAGACAGGUCAGAGAGAGAGACAGGUCAGAGAGACAGACAGGUCAGAGAGAGAGACAGGUCAGAGAGACAGACAGGUCAGAGAGAGACAGACAGGUCAGAGAGAGAGAGAGACAGGUUAGAGAGAGAGACAGGUCAGAGAGACAGACAGGUCAGAGAGAGAGACAGGUCAGAGAGAGAGACAGGUCAGAGAGAGAGAGAGAGACAGGUCAGAGAGAGACAGACAGGUCAGAGAGAGAGAGACAGGUCAGAGAGAGAGACAGGUCAGAGAGAGAGAGAGAGACAGGUCAGAGAGAGAGAGAGAGACAGGUCAGAGAGAGAGACAGGUCAGAGAGAGAGAGAGAGACAGGUCAUUGA